UACGUAGGGGGCAAGCGUUAUCCGGAUUUACUGGGUGUAAAGGGAGCGUAGACGGCAGCGCAAGUCUGGAGUGAAAUGCCGGGGCCCAACCCCGGAACUGCUUUGGAAACUGUGCGGCUCGAGUGCGGGAGAGGUAGGCGGAAUUCCUAGUGUAGCGGUGAAAUGCGUAGAUAUUAGGAGGAACACCAGUGGCGAAGGCGGCUUACUGGACCGUAACUGACGUUGGGGCUCGAAAGCGUGGGGAGCAAACAGG
rnacentral:rRNA from 1 species